rnacentral:misc_RNA from 1 species
GAUGAAAACGUAGCGAAAUGCGAUAAGUAAUGUGAAUUGCAGAAUUCAGUGAAUCAUCGAAUCUUUGAACGCACAUUGCGCCCGCCAGUAUUCUGGCGGGCAUGCCUGUCCGAGCGUCAUUUCAACCCUCGGGCCCCCCUCUGCGGGCGGCCCGGCGUUGGGGCUCAGGCGCCGUCUCUGCUCGGCGCCUGUCCCCUAAAUGCAGUGGCGGCCUCGCCGCUGCCUCCUCCGCGUAGUAGCACAAACCUCGCGGCUGGAAGGCGGCGCGGCCACGCCGUAAAACCCCCCAACUUUACCAAGGUUGACCUCGGAUCAGGUAGGAAUACCCGCUGAACUUAAGCAUAUCAAUAAGCGGAGGA